CGAUCAUUUGUACGUUAGUCAACAGAAGAAGACACCGGCUAACUCCGUGCCAGCAGCCGCGGUAAUACGGAGGGUGCGAGCGUUAAUCGGAAUUACUGGGCGUAAAGACGCAUGCAGGUGGUUUGUUUAAGUUACAGAUGUGAAAGACCCGGGGCCGUCAACCUCGGAACUGCAUUUGAAACUAGGCAGACUAGAGUACUGUAGAGGGGGGUAGGAAGUUUCUAGGUGUAGCGGUGAAAUAGCGUAGAGAUCUGAAGGAAUACCGGUGGCGAAGGCGGCCCCCUCGGACAGAUACUGACACUCAGAUGCGAAAGCGUGGGGAGCAAACAGGAUUAGAUACCCUGGUAG
rnacentral:rRNA from 1 species